rnacentral:siRNA from 1 species
UUUAAUAUGUAAAUCAUUAUCUA